UUUCUAACCCUUCCUGGAGGAGCUUGCUAUCUAACCGAUAAUCCACGUAAUACCUCACCAACUUUUGAAUAACACAGCCUGUAUACCAUCGUCGUCAGUUUACUUCCUAAGAAAUGUAAACAAAAAGAACUAAACAACAUUCUCAACGUCAGAUCGAGGUGCAGCUAAUAAGUUGGGGAUAAGUGAGCUACAAUAAUAUAACACAUAUAAAUUAUAUAAAUGAAUAACAAGUUGAUACAACCUGUUUGAAAUAGGAUUCAGCAGUAAUGAGUAAAAGAAAAUACUCGUGAACAACCCUAAGCUCUAGAAUGCGC
rnacentral:rRNA from 1 species